GCGCGAAACCUCCGCAAUGUGAGAAAUCGCGACGGGGGGAUCCCAAGUGCCAUUCUUAACGGGAUGGCUUUUCAUUAGUGUAAAGAGCUUUUGGAAUAAGAGCUGGGCAAGACCGGUGC
rnacentral:rRNA from 1 species